rnacentral:rRNA from 1 species
CACGUAGGGCGCAAGCGUUGUCCGGAAUUAUUGGGCGUAAAGAGCGCGCAGGCGGUCGAAUAAGUCGAAUGUGAAAGCCCCCGGCUUAACUGGGGAGGGUCAUUCGAUACUGUUCGACUUGAAGGCAGGAGAGGGCAGCAGAAUUCCCGGUGUAGUGGUGAAAUGCGUAGAUAUCGGGAGGAAUACCAGUGGCGAAGGCGGCUGCCUGGCCUGUUCUUGACGCUGAGGCGCGAAAGCUAGGGGAGCGAACAGG